UACGUAGGGUGCGAGCGUUGUCCGGAAUUAUUGGGCGUAAAGGGCUCGUAGGCGGUUUGUCGCGUCGGGAGUGAAAACACCGGGCUUAACUCGGUGCUUGCUUUCGAUACGGGCAGACUUGAGGCAUGCAGGGGAGAACGGAAUUCCUGGUGUAGCGGUGAAAUGCGCAGAUAUCGGGAGGAACACCGGUGGCGAAGGCGGUUCUCUGGGCAUGUUCUGACGCUGAGGAGCGAAAGUGUGGGGAGCGAACAGG
rnacentral:rRNA from 1 species